GCAGGAGGACGAGAUUCCUGACCUGGAGAUCGACAUUGAUGAACUUCUAGAGCUGACAGAUGAAGAGCAGAGAUCUCGACUGCACGAGCUUUUGCAAGAAUGUGGAAAGCCAAAGGAGGACUUUAUCAAUGGGCUGCUCUACAGGAUGAAGGGACUGCGCAAGAUGUCAGGAUCUCUGAAGAAAUAGCAUUAUGUCAAAGGCUGGAUUUUUCAAGAUAAUGUGAACCACCCGGCCCCGCCCACAACAACAAGCCCCGCCCACAAGUCCUCCUGUCUGUAGAGCGUUGAGUGUCUGUCUGUGGCUGUUUCUAUAAUUCACCGCACACAAGGGUCAAUGACUUCUAGAAACAGUGUUUUUGACCACUAAUAAUUCUGUACAGUUUCUCCAGCAUUGCAGAUUAACUGUACUGCCUAUUAUUACUCAAACGAGAUGUUGUUUUUUUGUGUACAUUUUGUUCC